GGAAUAUUGCGCAAUGGGCGAAAGCCUGACGCAGCAACGCCGCGUGCGGGAUGAAGGCCUUCGGGUUGUAAACCGCUUUCAGCAGGGAAGAAGCGAAAGUGACGGUACCUGCAGAAGAAGCACCGGCUAACUACGUGCCAGCAGCCGCGGUAAUACGUAGGGUGCAAGCGUUGUCCGGAUUUAUUGGGCGUAAAGAGCUCGUAGGCGGUUAGUCACGUCGGAUGUGAAAACCCGGAGCUUAACUCCGGGCCUGCAUUCGAUACGGGCUGACUCGAGUGUUGCAGGGGAGACUGGAACUCCUGGUGUAGCGGUGAAAUGCGCAGAUAUCAGGAAGAACACCGGUGGCGAAGGCGGGUCUCUGGGCAACUACUGACGCUGAGGAGCGAAAGCGUGGGGAGCAAACAGGAUUAGAUACCCUGGUAGUCCACGUAAACGGUGGGCGCUAGGUGUGGGGAACAUUCCACGUUCUCCGUGCCGCAGCUAACGCAUUAAGCGCCCCGCCUGGGGAGUACGGCCGCAAGGCUAAAACUCAAAGGAAUUGACGGA
rnacentral:rRNA from 1 species